UACGAACCGUCCAAACGUUAUUCGGAAUCACUGGGCUUACAGAGUUCGUAGGCGGUCUGGAAAGUUGGGUGUGAAAUCCCUCGGCUCAACCGAGGAACUGCGCUUGAAACUACCAGACUCGAGGGAGAUAGAGGAAAGCGGAACUGAUGGUGGAGCGGUGAAAUGCGUUGAUAUCAUCAGGAACACCGGUGGCGAAGGCGGCUUUCUGGGUCUUACCUGACGCUGAGGAACGAAAGCCAGGGGAGCGAACGGG
rnacentral:rRNA from 1 species